UAAUCUUUACUGCACUAGUCAGACAAUAAACCUAGGAGGGACAAAAAUGGAAUAGAAGCAUGAUCCUGAGAUUCCUGAGACAGUUCAUUUGGCUACCAGUGCCAAGAGGAAAAUGUACUCAGGUAUAGGCAGGUAUUUCCCAGCCCUCCUCAAAUGAUGGGAUGGAUAGUUGCCGGGGAAACUCAAGCAAGGGUUAAAGGACCUGACCAAGAGAGAGACUGAGUGGUUAUAAAAUAGAUACUCCUCCUCUGCCACUGAAAUAAGGACAGGAGCCACCUCCCUCUCCCCGACACACCUGUGAAAGGAGUGUGGAGAGGAGAGGAGUAAUAGUAAUCAUCUCAGGGGAGGUUGAGGCCACACACUUACUAGUAAGAUUUAAAUAGUUGGAAAUCUUACCAUACUUUUUGUCGAAAGCUGUCUCCUACUUCAAAAGAAAUUGCAAAGUAGAACAGACUAGAUAUUUGUCUGUAAAGUGCUAUCAACCGUGACAAAAGCUCCAUCUCCAUGGACAGUUCCUCCCACAGACCCUUGGCAGGCUUUGAACAGACUUGCACGACCCCAGUCAAGGAUUCCAAAAAGUAUGUAAAUGGGAAAACUGGAUUGCAUGAUUUUGGAAGGGGAAUAUCAGGGGCUUAGUGGUCUUGAAGGAGUAUGUCAACACAUCAGAGCUGUCCAAACAGGACUUGAAGCAUGACGCCACGGGCAGCGACAGGACUGUUUGCACAUACUGUGGAGAGCCUGUUGGCUCGGAUGCCAGGAUCACCAUUGAGGAUCUCAACAUUUCCUGCCAUCCCUCAUGUUUCAAGUGUGGCAUAUGCAGAAAGCCAAUGGGGGACCUGCUCUACAAUAUGUUUUUGCGUCGAGGGACAGUUCAUUGUGAGAGCUGUUAUGCAAAAGUAAUUUAAA